AACGAACGCUGGCGGCAUGCCUAACACAUGCAAGUCGAACGAUUGCCUUCGGGUGAUAGUGGCGCACGGGUGCGUAACGCGUGGGAAUCUGCCCUUAGGUUCGGAAUAACAGCUGGAAACGGCUGCUAAUACCGGAUGAUAUCGCGAGAUCAAAGAUUUAUCGCCUGAGGAUGAGCCCGCGUUGGAUUAGGUAGUUGGUGGGGUAAAGGCCUACCAAGCCGACGAUCCAUAGCUGGUCUGAGAGGAUGAUCAGCCACACUGGGACUGAGACACGGCCCAGACUCCUACGGGAGGCAGCAGUGGGGAAUAUUGGAAAAUGGGCGCAAGCCUGAUCCAGCAAUGCCGCGUGAGUGAUGGAGGCCCUAGGGUUGUAAAGCUCUUUUACCCGGGAAGAUAAUGACUGUACCGGGAGAAUAAGCCCCGGCUAACUCCGUG
rnacentral:rRNA from 1 species